UACGUAGGUGACAAGCGUUGUCCGGAUUUACUGGGCGUAAAGAGCGCGCAGGCGGUCGAUCAAGUCGAGUGUGAAAGCCCCCGGCUCAACUGGGGAGGGUCAUUCGAUACUGAUCGACUCGAAGGCAGGAGAGGGUAGUGGAAUUCCCGGUGUAGUGGUGAAAUGCGUAGAUAUCGGGAGGAACACCAGUGGCGAAGGCGACUUUCUGGCCUGUUCUUGACGCUGAGGCGCGAAAGCUAGGGGAGCAAACGGG
rnacentral:rRNA from 1 species